CAAAGGUUUGGUCCUGGCCUUACUAUUAGUUUUAACCUAAAUUACACAUGCAAGUCUCCGCAAUCCCGUGAGGAUGCCCCCAACUUCCCAAUCGGAAAUAGGGAGCAGGUAUCAGGCACAAAAUUUUGCCCAAGACGCCUUGCUUAGCCACACCCCUAAGGGAAUUCAGCAGUGAUUAACAUUAAGCCAUAAGUGUAAACUUGACUUAGUCAGGGUUAAAAGAGCCGGUAAAACUCGUGCCAGCCACCGCGGUUAUACGAGAGGCCCUAAUUAAUACCCGCAGCGUAAAGAGUGGUUAUGGGACCCUUACACUAAAGUCGAAAACUCCUCCAGCUGUUAUACGCAUCCAGGAGCCCUAAUUUCUUUCACGAAAGUGACUUUAUUAUUAUCCACCAGAACCCACGACAGCUAGGCUACAAACUGGGAUUAGAUACCCCACUAUGCCUAGCCAUAAACUUAGAUACCUAAAUACAACAGAUAUCCGCUAGGGAACUACGAGCAUCAGCUUAAAACCCAAAGGACUUGGCGGUGCCUCAGACCCCCCUAGAGGAGCCUGUUCUAGAACCGAUUAUCCCCGUUCAACCUCACCACUCCUUGCCCUUUCCGCCUAUAUACCACCGUCGCCAGCUUACCCUAUGAAGGAAAAGUAAGCAAAAUGAAAAAGUUUCGGAACGUCAGGUCGAGGUGUAGCAUACGGAGUGGGAAGAAAUGGGCUACAUUGCCUGAUCCAGGCUAUUCACGGAAAGUCGCCUGAAACGGCCACUCAAAGGUGGAUUUAGCAGUAAAGAGAGAAUAGAGUGCCCUCUUGAAGCCGGCUCUGAGGCGCGCACACACCGCCCGUCACCCUCCCUAAACACCCCCCCCCCAUCUUUUUAAUAAUAGUAAAUAACACAUACUAAUGUUUUCGGGGAGGCAAGUCGUAACAUGGUAAGUGUACCGGAAGGUGCACUUGGAAUAAU
rnacentral:ncRNA from 1 species